UAAGCAAUCAUGUGGUAGCAGUUUGGUCAUUCCGGUUCCUGAGGGGUACCGUUUGGUUUGGUUUCUUGUUCAUCUUUUAAUGUCGAGCCCCUUUAUUCACUCCCCCUUUUUUGUGGUACAUGAUGACUUUUGGCCUAGCAGUGUUCCUCGCUUCUCCGCCCUCAUGCCGAGUGUGAGGAAGGUAAUUUCAAAGAGACGGAAAGUGGUUCUGCCUCCUGCCGGUAGCAGCGAGAUAUUGGCGUUCUCGACAACCACAUAGUCGUCACCACUGGUCGGGGUCACCGAGUGGACUAAAGGGUCGUAGUCACUCUAGCCCAGGCCACUAUUGGAGGAUCAAUGAUCUUGUCCAGCCCCUCGUGGUGCCCAAACAGUCAUUGGACUUCCACAACAACUGUGAUGCUUAGGAAUCCAGCAGUUCCAACAUGAUUUUGGGAGCCUCUGGUGGAGCUAACGUGCCAUGACGGUCCACCUGGCGCUCGGUUCAUCCUGGACGACCCCUCUGAGGGAAUGGACUUCUAGUUUCUUCACAAGGAAUUGACCUAGAUGAAGUGCGAUAUCGAAAGGGUACUGAGUGAGGUGCAGGGAAGCUUGCGCUGGUUCUCGGCCGUGGACAGAGCCAAUUUGUCGAUUACAGAGACGUCGACGAGUAUGGGAGCGCUUCGUGGACGAGCUUCAGAAGGUGAAAGGUGUGAGGAUCGUGCAUGUGCCAAAGCAACACAAAGUGCUUAUGAUUGUCGGGUGGAAGUGUCAAAGAGGAACCAGGAGGUUGUUACCCUUGAUUGUCUCGAGCGUAUGUGGGUCACAAUGCGCUUCCAAGCAUCAAAGCUGCGGAGGCAGAAUGUUCAAGCCCAAGUUGUAGUUAUGAAUAGGGAGGCGGUCUAUCGUAUCGAGGAAGAGGAUAGACUACACGAUCGCAUUGGAGGUUAGAUAUGUCUGAGAAGCUUGCGGUAGCUAAAGAGAAUCUCAUCGAAGUACAACAUUGCCUUGAGGGACUCAAAAGGGAACACACCAGCACAUGUUGAGGGCAGUGGACGUUGCACAUGAACGAUUCGGGACUUCACUCCGCUUUGAGCAUUUCGUGGACCGUGUUCGUGAACUCGAAGUGGAGACCUUUCGUCGGGGUGUCAACCAGACCUUUGUCAUUGCUAGAUCCCAUGAGGGAGGGAUCAACCUGGAAGCUCUGAGCGAAGAUUAUUGUGACAACUGGAGUGUCGCGGAACUCACAUAGAUGGUUGAGGCAUCGGAUCCCUUGUCCUAAAAGCUAGCAUAUAUCUUAGCUAGCAGCGCCCUCCCUGAGAGGGUCAAGGGAGCUCCAAAUCCCUGUAAGUCAGGGAAUAAACCUUGUAAAAGUAGCCUAGAGGGGGUGAAUAAUAUACACCUGAAAUUUCUCACCAAGAACUUGAAUUCAAGUCAAAUAAACAUUUGCACUGGUGCAAAUCAGUUGAACCG